GACGAACGCUGGCGGCGUGCUUAACACAUGCAAGUCGUGCGGCAAGGCCCUUUCGGGGGUCCCCGAGCGGCGAACGGGUGAGUAACACGUGGGCAACCUGCCCUUCCUUUUGGGAUAACUGCCGGAAACGGUGGCUAAUACCGCUAAUGACUUCCUCACGCUAGUGGGGUGGUGGAAAGCCCUUGGGUGGUGGGGGAUGGGCGUGGGGCCUAUCCGGUUUUUGGUGGGGUGAUGGCCAACGAAGGCUUCGACGGAUAGCCGGCCUGGGAGGGUGGCCGGCGACACGGGGACUGAGACACGGCCCAGACGCGUACGGGAGGCAGCAGGGGGGAGUAUGAGACAAUGGGCGAGAGCCUGAUCCAGCAACGCCGCGGGAGGGAAGACGGCCUUCGGGGUAAAAACCGCAUCCGCCUGCGACGAAGCGGGAGUGACGGUAGCAGAUAAAGAAGCACCGGCUAACUACGUG
rnacentral:rRNA from 1 species